UGUCCGCGUUUGCCUCGUUCAACCCUCGUCCUCACGGACUCAUCGACGACGAGCCAGCUCGAGCGAUCGGCCGGUCGAACAGCGGGCAAUCAAGCUUGGAUUACAGCAUCUUGUCACCUUCGUCCACUAAUUUAUCCCAGCAUGUCUCGCCAAGGGCAUAAAAUUCGCCAUCAUGUCGAGAAUGUUAUAUAAAAUAUUACAAGAUUAAACAUUUCGUCAUUUAAAUAGGAUCGAAUGGUAUUUAUAUAGAUAAUAUCGGAAACUAAAUCACAUUCUGUUUUUAGCGACCGUAGGUGAUUCGUCAUCGGGAAGUUUUAAUUUAAGAGAAAUAAUCGUUGCACUUAUUUCGCAGAUAAAAAAAAUAUUGCUCGAUAACAAACGUGACAUGAUGAUUGUAAUCGAUAAGUGCGAUCAAAAGCAGGAUAACGCUCCUUUUACAGAUAAGGGAUAUUCACUCGCGUCUGUAUACAAUCAAAGCGCUACUAUAUCAUCUGUGUUAUCGGUGAACGGUGGACGCGAGUGAACAUUUCGUAAACUUCCGGGGAAGACCGAGUGGACGUCGUUGCAGUUUCUCUAUUUGUGAAAUUGCAAAAGAUCGUGAGUAUGUCAUGUAAGGUAAAAAUCAUUAUUUAUACCGUCAAAGAAUGCAGCUAGCUAGGAAUGAAGCUAUAAAGUGUCACAUAGAUGUUUGCGAUUCAAGAAGCACUGCGCAAUUACUGAAUGCACUUUGAUUUCCCGUUACCUUCCCGUAUCUACUUAAGACAAGAAAACUGAUAACAGUGCUUCAUUAGAAGCGAUGUCAGUUUCAUCACAAACAAUUCUCGAUAACAUCUGGAGAAAAUUUUUUCUCAUGUUUGAUAGAACAAACGUCUAAUCUAACAGUCGUUCCUACGCGAAAAAACGCAUGCAGAGGUAUUAGUAUGUCAAAGGAAAUUUAUACAUACGCAUGAGUUUAAUUAUAAUUCGCGAUUACAAGUCCGAGUAUUUGAUUUCUACUCGAAGAGUUUGCAGAAGAAGAGAUAAAAAUAAAUAAAUAAAAUACAUAAAAAUAAA